rnacentral:rRNA from 1 species
UACGUAGGGUGCGAGCGUUUGUCCGGAAUUAUUGGGCGUAAAGAGCUCGUAGGCGGUUUGUCGCGUCUGCCGUGAAAGUCCGGGGCUCAACUCCGGAUCUGCGGUGGGUACGGGCAGACUAGGGUGAUGUAGGGGAGACUGGAAUUCCUGGUGUAGCGGUGAAAUGCGCAGAUAUCAGGAGGAACACCGAUGGCGAAGGCAGGUCUCUGGGCAUUAACUGACGCUGAGGAGCGAAAGCAUGGGGAGCGAACAGG